CGGGCUUGGAGUUCCCAGAGCGCGUCCUGGGCGCUAGGGAAAAUAAAAUUGAGACUGCCUCCCUCUGCUGUAUCAUUUUGUGAGGCUGGGUUGUCCUGUUUGCUGCAGAAUUGAAAACCCCUGUGCAUGUACUUGACUGACCUCUUGGACACCAGUUGUACAGGAACACAACUAUUAGAGAAAACUGGAAGUUUUAUGGGAGCCUAUUGAAGACUCAUAUUAACGACAUCACAGGAAGGGAUGACAGAUGGCUGUGGAAUGUCAGACCCUUGUUGGUCUGUGGCCUGGAUUGCUGCCACCAUAUCUCAACAGAAGCUGCGAGGUUUUCUACCCUUUGUUCCGGAGCACCCAGACUCUAGAUCAAUACCACAAGCUGGGGACCGGAAGCGGAAGAAGCAGGCCAACAGUGCCUAGCCAAUGAUUAA